rnacentral:lncRNA from 1 species
AAUCCUUAAAAAACAAAAGCAAUAUUUGAUUCACAGUCUUCAUGUUUCAUCUUUUCACUGGUGGAUUUUUAUAUUCCUUUUAAAUUUCCCAUUUUCCUUGGUAUAUUUCUGUUUCUUUUGUGUGUGUGUGUGUGCUAUGCACAAAAGCUCUUCUCUCUCUCUCAGAUACAUUCUCUUGUCCAUGCCUAACUUGUCAGUCCAUAUCAACAUUUGCUUUCUCACUGUGUGUUAUGACAAUCAAUAUUUGACAUUGUGAGAGGGCUUUCUACUAAUCCACAGUUUGUCUUGAUUCUAAUAGAAAAAAAUGGAAACUUUCUCUCUUGGGAGACUAGGCAUGGAUGUAAAAAUAACCACCAUCAGAAAAUAGGUUUUGUUCAUUAUAGUUCUAAUCCGGUUAUCGGUAGGUUUCAGCCAGCUCCAUCCCCACAGGCUCACAAAGACACAACUGUGAUGGUGUUUCCUAGAGCUAAGAGAGGACUGCUCAUCUGUGUGAACACUGACCAUUUUGCCAUUGAUGCGUGCACCCCAUCACUUUAGAAUGUUUCCUUAGCUUUCUGUUUAUCUCAGAGCCAUUUACUCAACUAAACCUUCAGGUGGUGGUUAUUCCUAUAAAGAUUUCAGAUGAAUUAGUGUGAUCUUAUUAACUUGUCUACAUUAUCUGUGUUGGUAUAUUUCAUUUUUCAUUGAUUUACUAAUGUUUUCAGCAAAAUCACAUGUGUGUGUGUGUGUGUGUGUGUGUGUGUGUGUGUGUGUGCGAUGAUUCACAUCCAUCUGAUGGCAUAUACCAUCUGUGAUGACACUUGAUGGCAUAUAUACCAUCUAGGGUGACAUUUUGGAUAACUGAGAAAAUAAUUUUAGGUAGAAGAAAACAUGACUGAAUAUUAAUUUUUAAAGAAUAUUUUGUGGACAUUUUAUCGACUUAAUCCCAUAUGAUCUCAAACUAAAACGUAUUACUAGGUUUCACAAGUCUCCUAAUUUAAAGAAAAUAUUUUGAUUCAAUAUUAAUUUGAGUUCCUAGGUCCUUAGUACAUUGUAAGCGAAGAAACAUAUCUACUAAAAUGGCUACUAACACACACGAACACACACACACACACACACACACACACACACACACACACACACUCAUGCACAGGCACAAGCACAAAUAUAUUCUCAGGCACAGGGGCAUGAACAUGUAUAAAUAGUAUUAAUCUAAGGUAGGUAUCUCUAUUCAAGACUUGAAACACAGUGAGAAUUGCCCAUAGUAAUCAUUGGGGAGAAAUGCUAGAAUGAAGUGAUAACAUUCACAUCAGGUGAGGACGAAAAGAGAUACAGAGGUAAGAGGAUAACCAUAGGGAUAGGGGAAGAGGAAGAGUUAGGUGAGAGGGAAGUGUACACACAGAGAGAGAGAGAGACAGAGAGACAGAGAGACAGAGACAGAGAGAGACAGAGAGGAGUGUUUCAAAGUUCCUCUCCAAAGCAUGCCUUCAUGCCUUCGGAAGCUUGAGCAACUGCCGUAAGGUCCUACCUUCUAUUCAUUCCACAGGAGCACACUCUAGACAUCAUGUUUCAACACAUGACUAUGACUUUUGGGGGAAUUCCAUCUAUUUUAAAUAUAGCUCAAAGAAAAAUUGAUUGAAUCCAAUAUAGUCUUUUGUAAAUAGAGUUGUUUAGAUUUUUUUUUUUAAUUUCAUGUCUCCAGUAUAUUUUUUUACCUGUAUCCUAGGGAAGAAAAUAGGGGCCAACCAACAUAAAAUUUUCACCUAAUUUCAGGAUACAAUACUGCCUUAAAAUUGGUUCAUAGGUAGGAUAUCAUUAUAUAUGCCAGCGUGUUUUGAAUAUGGCUACUGGUUUAUAGGGCUCUCAAAGGCAAGUCACAAAAGUACUGAAUUUGUCUGCUAUGUUCACAAAGAAACUCUCCAAAUUCUCUCACAUGAUAAGCUGCUGUGCUCCUCACCUUACUAAAGAGAGGUUGUGUCCUACUGCUGAAUGAAAGGAUGCUAUUCUUUUUUUUUUUUUUUUCUGUAUCGAUUCUUUUUUUUUUUUUUCUUUCCAUUUUUUAUUAGGUAUUUAGCUCAUUUAGCAAAAAGUUAAUUCCAUUAGAUGGGUCUUGCUGGAUUGUCUCACACUGUCUGUUAGUAACCAUAUCUAUGCAAUGAAGUCUCCAUGAAACCCUAAAAGAACAGAGUCCGUGUGACUUUCCAGUGCUAGAACACAUAAAAAUGUUUACAGAACAAUACAUCCAGGUGUGUAGAACUUCUUGUUCAAUUCAUGUUACACAUCUCUUCAUCCUCUCUACCUGUCUUCAAAAUAUAUUGUUAAACAGUUUUUCCUUCAGUUUUGUGAGUCAGCCAUGAACAUUAAUUGAACCUAGGCAGGGUUUUGUGGGAGCCCUGAUUUAUAGCUGAUAAUUCAUGAGCACAGAUAAGGUGAAGAGGAGAGGGUGCAAUGGGCAUUCAGACUAUCUGUUGGAUGACAGUCAUGGGGACUGAACCUUCAGCUCAAGAGAUUUGACACUAUCUCCCUGCAGAUAGUGUCAGAUUUUAAUUGAGUUUGAGCCUUGCGCUGAUGGAUUGCUUGACGGUGGAGAGAAGUCCACAGAGCUUUUCACGUUCACAAAGUGAUUUGUGCUCAUUUCAGAGGGAGAGGAAGAAACAACUCGAGAUGGUUUACAUUUUGUUUAGUCAAAGCAAGACAGAGAGAGGCAAAGAUGAGAACAGUGCUCAAUCGGUCUUUGCUUCCAAGUAGUACAGAAAAAAAC